GCUUCUGGAGGGAGCCCCGCCCAGCCCCUGCCUCCGGCCCACCGGAGCUGCGAAAGAAGACGCGUCUGCCGUUACAAGCCACCACCUCUGUGGUAUUUUACAGCACACACAGGAAAGCAAUACGGAGACCGUGAAAAAGUAUCAACAUGGCUACAGAGAGCUGUAUGGAUUGUGAGGAUACAGCUGGUGUCUCAACUAAACAUCGAAUUACUCAUGCACUGUGCUUAAGCACAGUUAACCAAGACCUUCCUUAGAAGCAUCAUACUGAACAUUAUAUAUUUAUAUGUUUACAACAAAAGAUGAAAAUUAAAACUGUUAAAAUUUUCA